GAUGAACGCUGGCGGCGUGCCUAAUACAUGCAAGUCGGACGCACCACUUCGGUGGUGAGUGGCGAACGGGUGAGUAAUACAUAAGUAACCUGCCCUUGCGAGGGGGGAUAACUAUUAGAAAUGAUAGCUAAGACCGCAUAGGUAUAUGUGUCGCAUGACGCAUAUAAUUAAAAAUCCCACGGGAUUGCGCAAGGAUGGACUUAUGACGCAUUAGCUAGUUGGUGAGGUAACGGCUCACCAAGGCGACGAUGCGUAGCCGGCCUGAGAGGGUGGACGGCCACACUGGGACUGAGACACGGCCCAGACUCCUACGGGAGGCAGCAGUAGGGGAUAUUGCACAAUGGAGGAAACUCUGAUGCAGCAACGCCGCGUGAAGGAUGAAGGCCUCGGGUCGUAAACUUCUGUCCUUGGGGAAGAAGAACUGACGGUACCCUUGGAGGAA
rnacentral:rRNA from 1 species